CUUUGUUGCUCUACUUUUCUCCUGUUGAAUUUGAUGGAAAAUGCACGAUGCUCACCUCAACUCCAUACGAUUACAUGUAAGGUUGAUGGGGAACACUUAUACUGAAAAGAUCGUGGCUUUUGUAGGAAGAGAAGCUCUUUUCGAUGCAACCAAUGAUUUUUCAGAAGAGCCAAUAAUCCUUCUCUAAAAUUUUCUUUUAUCCAGAAAGAGAAUUGGUUGUUCAGUAUGCUUCUAUCUACGCGUGCAUGUUGUUUCUGGUUAAUUUCAUUUGUAGAGAGAGACUAGAGAAUGGCUAGGUGCAGAAUUUAUGGAUAUAUAUUUGACAAAGGUCAUUAUGUCCUUUGCCUGCAAAGAUACAUUAUAAAUAGAGUGAAGUGCACCAGC